rnacentral:rRNA from 1 species
CAGCCGCCGCGGGAAUACGUAGGGUGCAAGCGUUAAUCGGAAUUACUGGGCGUAAAGCGUGCGCAGGCGGUUAUAUAAGACAGUCGUGAAAUCCCCGGGCUCAACCUGGGAACUGCGAUUGUGACUGUAUGGCUAGAGUGUGUCAGAGGGGGGUAGAAUUCCACGUGUAGCAGUGAAAUGCGUAGAUAUGUGGAGGAAUACCGAUGGCGAAGGCAGCCCCCUGGGAUAACACUGACGCUCAUGCACGAAAGCGUGGGGAGCAAACAGGAUUAGAUACCCCCGUAGUCCCUGUCUCUUAUAC